CAGCAGCCGCGGUAAUACGAAGGGUGCAAGCGUUAAUCGGAAUUACUGGGCGUAAAGCGUGCGUAGGCGGUUUGUUAAGUCUGCUGUGAAAUCCCCGGGCUCAACCUGGGAAUGGCAGUGGAUACUGGCAAGCUAGAGUGUGUCAGAGGAUGGUGGAAUUCCCGGUGUAGCGGUGAAAUGCGUAGAGAUCGGGAGGAACAUCAGUGGCGAAGGCGGCCAUCUGGGACAACACUGACGCUGAGGCACGAAAGCGUGGGGAGCAAACAGGAUUAGAUACCCGCGUAGUCCCUGUCUCUUAUAA
rnacentral:rRNA from 1 species